GUAGGUGGCAAGCGUUGUCCGGAAUUAUUGGGCGUAAAGCGCGCGCAGGUGGUUCUUUAAGUCUGAUGUGAAAGCCCCCGGGCUCAACCGGGGAGGGUCAUUGGAAACUGGGGAACUUGAGUGCAGGAGAGGAAAGUGGAAUUCCACGUGUAGCGGUGAAAUGCGUAGAUAUGUGGAGGAACACCAGUGGCGAAGGCGACUUUCUGGCCUGUAACUGACACUGAGGCGCGAAAGCGUGGGGAGCAGACAGGAUUAGAUACCCUGGUAGUCCACGCCGUAAACGAUGAGUGCUAAGUGUUGGGGGGUUUCCGCCCCUCAGUGCUGCAGCUAACGCAUUAAGCACUCCGCCUGGGGAGUACGGUCGCAAGACUG
rnacentral:rRNA from 1 species